CAAAUCUGCAUUUACAAACAAGCAUAUAAAAUCUUGAAAAUAGUGUUUACAAGCAUUCCUGUUAUCAAUCAUGGAAUAAAAAUAUGAUAACCACCCCUGCUUUUUUAACCUAAUCAAAUCAUCUAACCUGCAGUAACUGUAAAUCUUGAAGGCCUGAACCUUAUGUAAAUAAUACCCAGUAUUGGGUGGCCAUGUAACAGAAAAUGAAGUAAAAUCUCAAUAUCUGGCCAGAUAUGAUAUCCAUUGCAUCCCUAGUUAUUUGUUAUGUUUCUUUGUCUUGAAAUGCCGAACAACUUUACUUGUUAAGGGGAGAGUGUUGGUAUGACUGUACAGUAUAUUCGUAUUCAACAUACUUAUUUAAUAUAUGCGCCAUUGGUACCCUUUUAUAGUUAACCCUCAGAUGUAUAAUGGCUUCCCUUCCACAUGCACUGGGAGACCGACAGACCUACCAAUACAAGACAGGCAAGCAAGGAGACCGGCAGACCCACCAAAACAAGACAGGCAAGCAUGUAAGUUUACUGAUAUUUUUCUUUGUGAUAUAAGUUAACACAUUGCGCCCUGCUUUAUUAUUUUACUCUGUCUAACGCCAGAUGAUUUACUCAUCAAGGGGAGAGCUCUGGUGCUUAAUGUGUUAACUAGCCUAUCUGCCCAUGUGUCUAGUUAAUCCAUUGAGUUGCAUUGCACUGAUGCGCCCUGCUUUAUUAUUUUACUCUGUCUACUGCCAGACAAUUUACUCGUCAAGGGGAGAGCUCUGGCAUUUAAUAGGUACAGUAACUUAACUGGCCUUUCAGCCCAUAUGUCUAAUAAUCUAGUUAAUCCAUUCAGUUGCAUUGUGCCAAUGUGCCCUGCUUUAUGUAUUAUUUUACUCUGUCUAACGAUUUAGUUGUAUAACAUGUGGGCAGUGACUGAGUGAAACAGUACAGGCUUGACUGCAGUCACUGACAAGAAGAAAAUUCAGAUCUUACAAUGUACUGUAUAUUAAUUUUACUGUAUUAUAAACCAUAUAAUUUCUUUUAUUAGUCCAUUCUGACAGCAAAUGCCUUAACUGAGGUGGAUAGGCCCAAGAAUUUUUCGAAAUUAACUAAGAAUGCAAGAAAAAGAUUCAAUGUGAACUGGAGAAGCAGGAGAACUGUUAAGAGAACACAAACAUACAGUCUGUAUUUGUUUUUAAUAUUUUAGUAACGAUAUUAUAUGCAUUUCUUAAUUUUAAUCUUUGGUCUUGUCCCUGCAUGGUGUUACUGGUAACCCACCCCUGAUUUUUUAUUUCUGCAUGCUUUUAGUUGAGUAAUGCAUAUACAGGAUGUAUCAAAAAAUGUCCCAAAUGGAUAAUUUCCUCGAAAUCACACAAAAUUUGGGAUAUUUUUUGUAACCGAGAGUAAAUAUAUGUAAAUUGUAAUUAAGUUUUUAUUAUUUUGUAAUUUGUAUAUUUCGAAUAAACUUGUGUCUGAUGUGGUACAUCAAACCUGC